AGUAGAAGGUACCUCUAAUCAGUUUUCCUCUCACCAGCCAUAUCAGCCCUUGAUCCUAAAAUUUUAUGCUGCCUGCGAGGACAAGGUACAAAUUCUAUUUUAACCAUCGCAUCUUUGUCAACUUUGACUGUUUGAUUCCCUCUGCUCCAACCCGAACAGCACCAGCACAGAAAACGUUUUCCUCUCCUUAAGAUGCUCCAUUGGUUAGAUCAGAUUUAUUUGCUGUCAGUAAAGGUUGUAUUUGCACAUAAGUCUAUGACAGAUUGCAAGUUUAUUAACUUCAAGUGAGUUUUCAGGAUGCUGGGUUGAGGUUUUUUUGUUGAGUCGUUGGGUUUUUUGUGGGAUUUUGCUUUUUUUUUUUGCUUUUUUUUUUGUCAGCGCACCCUCCCCCUUUCCCCAAGAUGUGGGUUACUUGACAAAUUGGAGUUAAGUUAUCUUAGGUCAAUGUAACUGUAAGUUAAACUAAUGAAGUGUAUGUCUAUGAGUGAUGUCUGAUUAGUUUAAUACAGUUAGUGCUGGACAGCUUGGGCUGCUGACCUUGAAGGAACACAGAUAACAUUGUGAUGCGUUGGAGGAUGUGGUUGUGAUACAAGACAAAUUUACAUAACAGUUUGUCAUGUACACUCCUCCAAAACAAAACUGUUGCAAAAAGAAAGCAAGAGGAAACCAACGCUAAAUGCCUCGCACAAGACAAAACGGGGAAAAUUAAUUAUAACGUUUGGCUUAGGGUGGGAGAUUAUUUUAAAUGGGAGCCAAAAGCAGGCACAGGAAAGGUGUACAUUUACACAGAAGUACCUACUCGCUCAUGGUAAAACACCAGACCCAGUUCUGCACUGUGACUCAUUGGCACACCAUUCAGGUGUGCUCAGAGUCCUCCUAAAGUUCUUUCUGCAGCUGCUUGUGCUAAAAGAACCUUGUGCAUGAACAGCCUCUCCCCAAGAAGGUGCACAGUCCCCAUGCAAAGUUCUGCAUGCUGUGAGCAAAGCUCUAUCUCACUGCUCCAGACAAUCACCUCGCCACAUCUCAUCUGAUCAGCCCAGGUUCUAGCUGAUGGAAAUUUGCCACCUACAUAAAUGUAUAAUUGACACCCUCAGCUGCUGGCAUGUUACUGAACUGGACCAUCAUUAAGAUAAGACUGCUUCUUUAGUCCUCCAGGUCAGCCUGAGCAGGACACUGAUAAAUCAGACUUGCUAAUAGAUACAUGGGAGGGCACAUGAGGAAGCUUGCAGUGUUCACAUCUGUGCCAUCUCUCAGCCUAAUCUGUGAAGCACAGUUUAAACCUUUCAGAAUGACUGAGCUCACAUGAUAAAUUUCAAAUAAGAGAUACACAUACAUGUAUAGACAUCAGGUACCCAGAUACUGGGUGAAACUCUCAUGGACUGGAGAUACAAGACAAAACAGUCUAGGAAAUUCUAAAUAAAAUAUAGAAUUUCUCAGUUAUACCCCAAGAAGAAAAACCUGUGCUGCCCACUGCAAGUUCCUAACUACUCCCACAUACACCUCUGCAUACACACAAGGAGUAAGUUCAAGAGACCUGGUUGAAGGCAUAAGUGUAAUUUGAGUCUAGAAAUUAUUCAGUCCCU